rnacentral:rRNA from 1 species
UACGUAGGGGGCAAGCGUUGUCCGGAUUUAUUGGGCGUAGAGAGCGUGUAGGCGGCCAGGUAGGUCCGUUGUGAAAACUCGAGGCUCAACCUCGAGACGCCGAUGGAAACCAUCUGGCUAGAGUCCGGAAGAGGAGAGUGGAAUUCCCGGUGUAGCGGUGAAAUGCGCAGAUAUCGGGAGGAACACCGGUGGCGAAGGCGGUUCUCUGGGCCUGACCUGACGCUGAGGAGCGAAAGCGUGGGGAGCGAACAGG